AUGAAUUCCUCCUCUGCACCGGGUCCGGAUGGCCUUCCUGUGAGAUUCUUCCAGGCCUUCUGGAACGUGAUUAAACCGGAGGUCAUGGCUAUCUUCGAUGAGUUCUACGUUGGCUCCAUUGACCUCGGGCGACUCAACUACGGGAUUAUCUCGCUCAUCCCGAAGGUUGCCGGGGCGUCUGACAUUCGUCAAUUUCGGCCGAUUACGGUCAUCAACAUCAUCUUCGGGAUCCUGGCUAAAGGGUACGCCAAUAGGGUGACCUUGCUGGCCGACCGUGUCACGCACCCCAACUAGACGGCUUUCAUUAAGGGCCGGUACAUCCUGGAUGGGGUCCUAGUCCUUCAUGAAGUCCUCCAUGAGGUCCGCUCCAAAAACCUCAAGGCGGUCUUCCUGAAGAUUGACUUUCAUAAAGCCUAUGAUACGGUUAGCUGGUCCUUCCUUAGGGAGGUCCUUCUUCGGAAGGGCUUUGACGACCGGUGGGUUACUCGUGUCAUGCAAAUGGUCACGUGCGGUCGUACGGCCGUGAACAUCAACGGCGAGAUUGGCCCCUUCUUCCCUACCCUAUGUGGGGUUAGACAAGGCGAUCCCUUCUCCCCGUUCUUGUUCAAUAUGGUCGUAGACGCGCUAGCAUCCAUCCUUGAUAAGGCGAAAGCCGCGGGCCAUAUUCGUGGGAUCACUCCCCACCUCGCCGGGGGCUCUGGGAUAUCCAUUCUCCAGUAUGCCGACGACACUAUCAUUAUGGUUGAAGGCUUGAAGAACGAUAGCACCAACCUCAAGUUCCUUCUCCUCUGCUUCCAGCAGAUGUCGGGUCUCAAGAUCAAUUUUGACAAGAGCGAUGUGAUGGUGAUGGUAUACCCCCCUGCCGAGUCUUUGGCCAUCGCCAACAGGCUUAAUUGCCGCAUGGGCACUUUUCCCACUACUUACUUGGGAACUUAA
rnacentral:rRNA from 1 species